AUUGAACGCUGGCGGCAGGCCUAACACAUGCAAGUCGAGCGGAUGAAGGGAGCUUGCUCCUGGAUUCAGCGGCGGACGGGUGAGUAAUGCCUAUGAAUCUGCCUGGUAGUGGGGGAUAACGUCCGGAAACGGGCGCUAAUACCGCAUACGUCCUGAGGGUGAAAGUGGGGGAUCUUCGGACCCCACGCUUUCAGAUGAGCCUAGGUCGGAUUAGCUAGUUGGUGGGGUAAAGGCCUACCAAGGCGACGAUCCGUAACUGGUAUGACAGGAUGAUCAGUCACACGGGAACUGAGACACGGACCAGACUACUACGGGAGGCAGCAGUGGGGAAUAUUGGACAAUGGGCGAAAGACUGAUACAGCAAUGCCGCGUGUGUGAAGAAGGUCUUCGGAGUGUAAAGCACUUUAAGUUGGGAGGAAGGGAAGUAAGAUAAUAACUUGCUGUUUUGACGUUACCAACAGAAUAAGCACCGGCUAACUUCGUG
rnacentral:rRNA from 1 species